GACGAACGCUGGCGGCGUGCUUAACACAUGCAAGUCGAACGCAGUGGCGGACGGGUGAGUAACGCGUAAUCAAACUGCCCUUCAGAAGGUGAUAACAGUUGGAAACGACUGCUAAUACCGCAUUCUAUAGAAGGGGAUUGCGUCUGAUUAGCUAGUGGGUGGGGUAAGGGCUCACCACGGCGACGAUCCGUAGAUGAGUUGAGAGGACGACCAGCCACACUGGGACUGAGACACGUCCCAGACUCCUACGGGAGGCAGCAGUGGGGAAUGUUGGGCAAUGGGGGAAAGCCUGAUCCAGCAAUCCCGCGUGAGCGAUGAAGGCCUUCGGGUUGGAAAGCACUGUUGGUAGGAAAGCGGUACCUGCAGAAUAAGCACCGGCUAACUACGUGCCAGCAGCCGCGGUAAUAC
rnacentral:rRNA from 1 species